rnacentral:tRNA from 1 species
GCCGGCCUAGCUCAAUUGGUAUAGCAACUGACUUGUAAUCAGUAGGUUGGGGGUUCAAGUCCUCUGGCCGGCACCA